rnacentral:lncRNA from 1 species
ACAGUCAUUGUUUCCAGACCAGCCGAGCCAACUGGGGAGGAGAGGCCAAGCCCAGGGAGAGCAGUAAGAGGCCCAGCUUGCAACACAGGCCCCCGGCGGCUGGAGUCGGCUCAUGGGUUGCUGGGGGGCAGCUGGUGCCAGCCCUGCUAGACAUGUCCAGGGUCGGGGCAGAGGCCAGGGUGGCUCUCAUCCACAACGAGGCUCCAGGAAGAGGCUCCAGAGGGCCCAGGUCCCUGGAGGAAGACAGAGGGUGGAUUAUCCAUCUCAAGGACUUGGGCAGCUUCUGGAAGUGGCUGAGACUGGAAGAAUGUUGUCACACCUACCAGAUAUCCCUACGUGUAUCUCUACCACCCCCACUACAUAUUCUGAAGAACCAAGGUGCAACAGGAACCUGGAGCCUCAAGAGCCGAGGUGCUCAGGAGGGGCAGCAUGACUCCAGGGCUCGGAAGGAGCCCCUCAGGGGAACCUCAAGAGUGCUGCCUGAGUAACUCUCAUUACACAAAGACACAACUGCAAGAGGAUCCCCAGGCAUUCCCAUGAGAACACAGAUUCUGACAACCCCUCCAUCCCCCACCUUGGUCUCCACCCCAGGACUCACAGCAUGGCAAAAAUCCAAGGGAAGAUUCUU